GGGUGCAAUCAUACCCGCACUAAUACACUAAAUUUCUUCGAAGUUCUGCAGCUAAGCGUGUUUAACGAGAGUAGUACUAAGUUGAGUGACUACUUAAAGAAGUCCUCAUGUUGCAUGCC
rnacentral:rRNA from 1 species